UUAACCUAUGCUAUAGUGGGAAACUGAAGGAAAUUGAACCGCGUGAACUUUAGGAAAUUGAAACAAACCCCCCCUUCUUUCUUUCCCCAAUUCAUAACCCUAGCCCCCAUUGUCGCCGCAGUCGGAAGCUUGUUGGCGCCGCCGCCGUCCCAAGCUCUAAGGACAUCGUCUUUAUCUUCCUUGGCUUCUCCGUUCGUCGAAGGUUAGUGGCGUGGCGCCCGCUCUUGGGGUACUGCGCUCGUUAAGAUCUCUCCUUACACCUUCUCCGCCGUCGCCAUCGGCGUCUCCAUCGGUGUCUCAGUUCUCAUUGCUGCUUGGGGGAAUUACGUGCUGCAAUCAAGGCUCCCCGAAUCACUUCCACGAAUCUCAUUAGGUUAUUUCUGAGAAAAAUCGUGAAAAUAGAUCCAAACAAAAAUGGAAUCAUCGAAUGGGACCAGUUAGUUUUGAAUUAGUACGCGCUGAAUUGCGUGCAAAAAAAGAGGGCAAUGAAGAUCCAUCACAGUCUGAGAUGUUUGUUGUAACUCGUACUAACAAGAAAGGAGAAACUGACUCGGGAACACAAGAGACGAUUGAACAUCUUCAAAAUUUGAA